rnacentral:rRNA from 1 species
UCGAGCGGAGAGAGGUAGCUUGCUACUGAUCUUAGCGGCGGACGGGUGAGUAAUGCUUAGGAAUCUGCCUAUUAGUGGGGGACAACAUUUCGAAAGGAAUGCUAAUACCGCAUACGUCCUACGGGAGAAAGCAGGGGAUCUUCGGACCUUGCGCUAAUAGAUGAGCCUAAGUCGGAUUAGCUAGUUGGUGGGGUAAAGGCCUACCAAGGCGACGAUCUGUAGCGGGUCUGAGAGGAUGAUCCGCCACACUGGGACUGAGACACGGCCCAGACUCCUACGGGAGGCAGCAGUGGGGAAUAUUGGACAAUGGGCGCAAGCCUGAUCCAGCCAUGCCGCGUGUGUGAAGAAGGCCUUAUGGUUGUAAAGCACUUUAAGCGAGGAGGAGGCUACUUUAGUUAAUACCUAGAGAUAGUGGACGUUACUCGCAGAAUAAGCACCGGCUAACUCUGUGCCAGCAGCCGCGGUAAUACAGAGGGUGCAAGCGUUAAUCGGAUUUACUGGGCGUAAAGCGCGCGUAGGCGGCUAAUUAAGUCAAAUGUGAAAUCCCCGAGCUUAACUUGGGAAUUGCAUUCGAUACUGGUUAGCUAGAGUGUGGGAGAGGAUGGUAGAAUUCCAGGUGUAGCGGUGAAAUGCGUAGAGAUCUGGAGGAAUACCGAUGGCGAAGGCAGCCAUCUGGCCUAACACUGACGCUGAGGUGCGAAAGCAUGGGGAGCAAACAGGAUUAGAUACCCUGGUAGUCCAUGCCGUAAACGAUGUCUACUAGCCGUUGGGGCCUUUGAGGCUUUAGUGGCGCAGCUAACGCGAUAAGUAGACCGCCUGGGGAGUACGGUCGCAAGACUAAAACUCAAAUGAAUUGACGGGGGCCCGCACAAGCGGUGGAGCAUGUGGUUUAAUUCGAUGCAACGCGAAGAACCUUACCUGGCCUUGACAUAGUAAGAACUUUCCAGAGAUGGAUUGGUGCCUUCGGGAACUUACAUACAGGUGC